rnacentral:rRNA from 1 species
CAGUCGCCGCGGGAAUACGUAGGGUCCGAGCGUUGUCCGGAAUUACUGGGCGUAAAGCGUGCGUAGGCGGUGAGUUAAGUCUGCUGUGAAAUCCCCGGGCUCAACCUGGGAAUGGCAAUGGAUACUGGCGAGCUAGAGUGUGUCAGAGGAUGGUGGAAUUCCCGGUGUAGCGGUGAAAUGCGUAGAGAUCGGGAGGAACAUCAGUGGCGAAGGCGGCCAUCUGGGACAACACUGACGCUGAGGUACGAAAGCGUGGGGAGCAAACAGGAUUAGAGACCCCUGUAGUCCCUGUCUCUUAUAC